rnacentral:rRNA from 1 species
UACGAAGGGUGCAAGCGUUAAUCGGAAUUACUGGGCGUAAAGGGUGCGUAGGCGGUUCGUUAAGUCUGUCGUGAAAUCCCCGGGCUCAACCUGGGAAUGGCGAUGGAUACUGGCGAGCUAGAGUGUGUCAGAGGAUGGUGGAAUUCCCGGUGUAGCGGUGAAAUACGUAGAGAUCGGGAGGAACAUCAGUGGCGAAGGCGGCCAUCUGGGACAACACUGACGCUGAAGUACGAAAGCGUGGGGAGCAAACAGG